rnacentral:misc_RNA from 1 species
GAUGAAGAACGUAGCGAAAUGCGAUACUUGGUGUGAAUUGCAGAAUCCCGUGAACCAUCGAGUCUUUGAACGCAAGUUGCGCCCGAAGCCACUAGGCCGAGGGCACGCCUGCCUGGGCGUCACACGCCGUUGCCCCCCCAUCUACUCCUUCGGGAUUGCGGGGGGGCGGAUGAUGGCCUCCCGUGCGCCUAGCCGCGCGGUUGGCAUAAAUACCAAGUCCUCGGCGACGCACGCCACGACAAUCGGUGGUUGCGAAACCUCGGUUGCCCGUCGUGUGCGUUCGUCGCGCAUCGAGGGCUCGAAAAAAUGCUCGGCUCCGGCUGGGCUUUCAACGCGACCCCAGGUCAGGCGGGGUUACCCGCUGAAUUAAAGCAUAUCAAUAAGCGGAGGA